CAGUAGCCGCGGUAAUUCGAAGGGGGCUAGCGUUGCUCGGAACCACUGGGCGUAAAGGGUGCGUAGGCGGGUCUUUAAGUCAGGGGUGAAAUCCUGGAGCUCAACUCCAGAACUGCCUUUGAUACUGAAGAUCUUGAGUUCGGGAGAGGUGAGUGGAACUGCGAGUGUAGAGGUGAAAUUCGUAGAUAUUCGCAAGAACACCAGUGGCGAAGGCGGCUCACUGGCCCGAUACUGACGCUGAGGCACGAAAGCGUGGGGAGCAAACAGGAUUAGAUACCCCUGUAGUCCCUGUCUCUUAUAC
rnacentral:rRNA from 1 species